CAAGGCGAACUUUGGAAAGCAAUGGCGCGGCGGCGGAAGGGGCUCCCGUGCUGGGUGGUGGGGGUCGAGUUGAAGGUGAAGGUGGUGUGCGGCCACGAAUACCCCCAGAAUCGCACGCUGCCACCCCUGUCCGGGGGACGAUCGAGGCGCCGUUGUCUCCCGCACUUCUCUCCGGCGGCGACGACGAGGGCUCUGACCCCGACUCCGCCCGACGCAAGUCCCUCCCCUUUGAAAGCACCUAUCGCUUUCAACCUGGAGAAUCGCGGGCGACUUCAUCGGAUUCCGAGCUCGUCCGCCGCGAUGUGGGACGCGCGGGUGGGGGUAGGGUUUCUACAUCGCCGCCGCCGCCGUCGCCCGUGACAGAUUUUGUCUUCAUAUCCGGCUUGAUCGCCGUUGGCUGCGAUAAUAGAUUCCACAUGGUGGGCUUUCCAGAUCGCAGAGACCAAACGGUUGCCGGAUUGAAACGAGGUCGAGAAGCCGCCCGAGCCAAAACUGGGAACUGUUUCCUGUCGUUUCCUUGCUCAAUCUGCAAAUUCGGUUCACGAAAAGGAUAAAAGUGCAAACCUAAAGCGGCAAAGGAGCAUCGCCUCAAUUUGAAGCUGAUCGGCGGAGGAUGAUGGAGAAUGAGAUGCGAUGGGUGCCGCAUUUGGUUGUCUGGAUGAAGAUAUGCAGCCUGGAACAAAUGUGGGAGGUGAAGAAUACAUAGCGUGCAUUAGUAAUGGCUGUGGAAGGUAAUGUUUCUGGUGAUGACAGCAAUGAGUUCAAGCUGAAGGAUGGGACGUCACAGUAUUCAUCUGCCAUUUAUGUUACAAGGUAUUGUUGAUCUCAAAAGAUUGAAAAGGGAAAGAGGGCCCUGAAUUUAAAGGGUUCGUUCUAAGCAUAUAUCACUUCCUCAGCAUUGCAGAACAUUGGGCUUGGCAAUCUGGCAUUUUUGGUCCCUUGGCCGGUUGAUCCAUUAUCCUGCACCAGUCUGGAGUCUGAACAACCGAAACAAGGAGUUUGGCAUUGAUGCUAUGCAACCCGUGUUGUCCAGCUAACUCUAAGCGGUAAGAGGUUAGUACUUUGAUUUACCUUUAUUCCUGUCCUUAAUUUAGUGGGUCUGCUCUACUUCGAAAUAGAGUAGGUUUGUUUGUCCUGGAAACCUCGAUCAGAGCAAUUUGCAGAAUGACAAUGGUGAAUGGUCCCAUCUUGCCACUUCGCUACCAAUCAGAUGAAAAUGUGCUGUCCAUGAGCAUGAUGUGGUUUUGUUUUAUCUGAUUUCACAGGCCACACCUGUCAAGAGUGCAGAGAAGAGUAGUACUCCCUCCGUUCAACAAAAGAUGUCUUAAAUUUGUCAAAAUUUGGAUGUAGCUAGACAUGACUUAGUGUAUAGAUGCAUUGAAAUUUAGUCAAAAUUUCAACAUCCUUUGUUGGACGGAGGGAGUAGAAUAUAUGGACAGAGAAAACACCUCGAAUGAACUGGCAUGUCUAAAAUGAACUUAGCAUUAGCAAUUCUGUUGUGAUGUUAUCUAUUUGGAUGCAUUCGAAGCAAAUGCAGAACUUCCCUUCCAAUAAUGGGGGGAAGAGGAGGAGGUAGCAGUUGAGCAAAGUCUCUUUAGGUUCCAUCUAAAUGUCCAAAGUA